UUCUUUUCCUCUCUAAUAGAAUAUCUAAUACAGCGGGACAAUAAACCCCGGAAUAUCUUUCUCCAAGGACCUAACCAUCAUGUGAAAAUAGGGGACUUUGGGUUAGCCUGUAGAGACAUUAUAGAGGAAGAUACAAUCCAACUGCUAAGCGCAGAGAAUAAUUAUGCGCUCAUCCAUACCUCCGGAGUGGGCACUUGUCUGUACGCUUCACCUGAACAACUCCAAGGAUCCCAUUAUGAUUUCAAGUCGGAUAUGUACAGUUUGGGCGUCAUCCUGUUUGAACUCUUCCAGCCGUUUGGGACAGAAAUGGAGAGGACGGAAGUUCUGAUGGGCUUAAGACGGGGAAGCCUCCCGCUCACUUUUUGUGCGAAGUGGCCGAUACAGGCCAGAUACGUGAAGCUGCUGACCAGCCACGCAUCCUCGCGGAGACCGACAGCCCUUCAGCUGCUGGAAAGUGAACUCUUCCAUAACUCAGCAAAUGUCAUUUGUGUUCUUCAGCAGAAAGUGUUGGAGCAAGAAGAAGAAAUCAAACUGCUGAAAGAAAAAAUUAAGCUACUCUUACAAGAGAGGGACGAAAGAGACAGAAUUAAGCCACUCGGCUCUCCUGUUUAAGUGAACCAAAAGUGUUUGUCGUUGUGUUACCGUUAACAUGUCUUUUAUUUUUUUUAUAUAAAAUAUUC